rnacentral:misc_RNA from 1 species
CCGAGAGAGGGUCGCCUCGCGCGCCCGACCUCCCAACCCUUUGUUUGACCAAAAACCACGUUGCCUCGGGGGCCGACCCGGUCGCCCCCGGUGGACCAACCUUCACAACUCUGCAUCUCUGCGUCGGAGUCACAAGUUAAAUCGUUUUA